UGGAGCAACACAAGGUUCCCAAAAAAAAGGUGUCUCAAUUAUUUUCAUUUUCCCGCUCUUCAUCUUCUUCCCUCACAUUCUGUCUCUGUCGAUCCGCGAAAUGAAGAAACCCACUACACACUCGCUCACCCAUCUCUUUUGUGCCUCUCUCCUCUUCCUUGUCGCCGCUGCGCUCUGCUGUUCCUCCUCCCCCCACCGCCGUCGCGCUCUUCUCUCCCCUUAUCUCUUCUAGACCUUACAUAUAGUUGCAGAACUAUGCAAAAUUGAUGAUGGGAGAUGAUAAAUAGCUGGCGAAGGUGAUGGGAAUAGCAGUAGGGAAAAAGAUCAGGAGCUUCUCAUACCAUCGUUGACUGUUCCGGCAUCCAUGAUGAUUCUUCUAAAGUUAGCCCUUUCGUUUAUUCUUCCCACCUUUAUGGGUGAGAGGUAGUGCAUGUUAAGAUAAUCAAGCUAGCGCUACGACUUGCGUACAUCAAUCUCAAUGGCUUCAGUCUACUAUCUCAGGUACACAUUCUGAUUUUCUGUUAGUCAUGCUAUUUAGUUUUGAUGAUUCAAUGACUCCUUCCUUGAUGUUUUGUAUGAGGUCUAUGUAAGCCUGGUAACAUCUGUAGCUUUCAUUGUUGCAAGAGCUUUGCUUUUACAGAGGAAAUCCAUGCUUUGCACAGGCUAUCAGUGCUGUGUUCGGGUUGCUUUAUUCUGGCAAUCCUGGGUCAAGGUUCAAUGUGGUUUAUCACUACCAGCCCUGAACACGAGUAUAGUUCUGAACUCUGUCUAUAUAUACUAUUAAUUAUUUUUAAGAUGAAGUUGUUUCAAUCAGAGUUGGUUUUAUGAUGUAAAAUCUGAUAAAGUCAGUAAUACCUUGUACAGAAUUUAAAUAGUGGUCUACUGCCUGAGAAUAUGAAAUAAGGGAGGAGUAACUGUUUAUCUACGAGACUACGGGUAUUAUAACAAUAUGUAGAAGGUAGUCUGUCUUAGAACCCCAAGGAUAACUUUUGGUUUGUGGGAAUUGUUUUACAUUUAUCCUUGUCUGUCUGCAAUUGCGCGUAGGUAUUAGAGCCCCAAGGAUAACUAUUGGUUUUUGGGUAUAGUUGAUUAUGACUGGUUGCAAUAGGUAUUAGGUACUUGAAUUGAGUCAUGAUUUUCUCCCAUAUUUCUCCUCGGAAGCUUUGAUUGUAACAUAUAGAAAACAUUAUAUAUGACUUCUAUAUCAUAUUAUUGAACAGUCAAAACUGGUGGAAAGUUUUGAGUAAACUUUCAGAUAAUAUUGUGUAAACACUAAAUAUAUAACUUGAAUUCUAGAUUUAGAAGAGCUUGAUUAGCCAGUUGAUGCUUGGAAGUACUCACUGAUUGGUUCAUCUUUAAAUUAUUCAAUAACUAGAUUUGAUUAAGAAAGGGAAUUAUCAUAUCAGAGAUUGCUAGAUUUUUGUCUACUUUAAUUUGAUAUUUGCUGUUAGGCUCAUUUUAUUAUUGGAAUUCUUCUUUCCUUUGCUUGUGUACUUAACUAAUACAUGUACUACUUGUAUUUGAAAUGAAAAUUAUCAAUGGUUCAAGUCAGUGUGACAAAUUUUGAAUACAGGUCAACACAAGGUCUUUUUUCUUAGCUACAUGCAUGUAAAUUAUGCUCUUGGACACCUAUUUUACUUCCCAAUAUAAUGAUUUUAUAUUCAGGUUCUCUCUGUUUUACUUCCUUCCCCCCUCUAGAUGAUCUAGAUCUGUCUUCCUUUAUGUUGGUUUGCCUCUUUAAUUCCAAGUGUGUUGCUAGAAAGCAAGUGGCUCUACUGUGUUGGAAAGUCAGAGGCUUGAACUUGUUGUUUGGUCUGUAUUAGACAGCUUGUUGCUUGACAUAAAUAUGAUUGCACUAUACAUGCAUUAGUAAGUUGAUAUCUUCUGGGUUUUUUUUCCGUGCUGCAUUAUAGCUAAAGUACGUUAAUUAAUAUAAAUCUGUUUGCAGACCGAGACUCCACCAUAAGAAUCCUCCAGCUUUUUCAGGUUUUUUGUAUUUCAUUCCUUUCCCAAGAUUGUCAUGUUUCUAGUAAAUCGUUUCUCACCUUAUCUAUUAUUGCACCUUUUAUCAAACUUUCAGGGGAGUCCAGGGAUGUUACAACAUUAAUGCAAAAAAAACUCAGUGAAGAGAACUGGAAUUGAAGGGUAUCCACUAUCCAGUUGCUUUAUAGCCAAGUACAUUUUUUAUGAUGUAUUCAACAAUCCGAGGAGCAACCCUUCACUACGGAGGAGAUAAAUGAAGUUCGAGACAAUUUGGCAAACUUCAUUACUAGUGAUUGUCUUUGAUAUUUUCUUGUAGUAAAUCAUAGAUUAUGAAUGUUAGUUUUCCAUAUGAUUGUAGUGUAAUCGAUUUUUAAAUUUACAAUUAUAUACUAUUUAAUUUAAUUAUUAUAAUUGGAUACUUGUUUUAUGUGAUUUAUGGAGGUUAACUAGUGGGCAUGGUCUA